GCCGAGGUAGCUCAGCCUGGGAGAGCACUCCGCUGAAGCCGGAGCUGUCGCCGGUUCAAAUCCGGCUCUCGGCA
rnacentral:tRNA from 1 species